rnacentral:lncRNA from 12 species
GCGGACGCAGCCAGGUGCGCUUGCUCGCUCCCCACCGGCCCAGUCCCGUCACCUCGGCCCGCGGCCCGCCUGACGGCCUCCGUGUUUUCGGGACGGCCCUCCCUGCUUCUGGACUCCUCCGGGGAGGUGAUACGGUCUGGCUCCUCACCGCGCCUGGCCGUGCAUCGUGGCUCCAGUCACAACUCGCGGCCGCCUGGGCGCGCAGCCCCGCAUCUCUCGGCCCGCGCUCCGGCUGCCUGCGUCCAACCACACAGUCGCUUGACUUUCUUUUCCUUUUCCCUUUUUUUUCUCGUUGUGAUGGCAAAUCUGGGUUUCCUUUCUAGCCUUUUUCUUUCCUUCCUUCCUUCCUUUUUUUUUUUUUUUUUUUCUUUUGCAGCGGGAGGAGUCGGGGGGAGGGGGAGUAGCUUGGAGAGCUUUUAAAAAAAAACCCGUCCUGGUGCAGCAGCUAUAGUUCGGCGCGGCCGGAACAGUUCAGCAAGGGCCGCUGCUGUCGCCGCCCAGGCCGCAGUUCGUUGCUGGCUGUCUCCGGACAGGCGUCCCUCUGUCCCUGGUCUCCUGGCCCAGUCCGCCGCCCUGGCGCGUCUCUCCCCAGCUCCGAUGGCUCGGUCACUGCUCCUGGCUGUUGGCUGAGCUCUGGAAGCCCCCUCGCCUUAAUGCAGCGCCCGCCGACGUCACCGCGGCCUGCGACCAAUCAGCGGCUCGCGGUCCCUCUGUAAACCAUUCUGCAUCCCCGGGCCGGGGAGAGUGCCGGGAGACCGCGUUUAGAGGAUCAGUGGCGGCCGCAUCCCCGGCCCCGCGCGGUGCAGGCGGCGGGCAGCGAGGUGCCCGAGCCCCUCCUGCUCCGGGGAUGAGAGGCGGCACUGGAUCUCUAGACAAUGAACACGGCGGACCCAGCCACAUGGAGGCAGCCCACGGCACCAGGCUCCAGAGAGCCAGCUUCCUGACUUCAGCGGUGUGAAGAUGAUCCAGUACAUUUUUGGUUCUGGCUUUCAGCCGUCCCCCAAGCAGAGCCUGGAGCAUGGACAUCUCCUUGUUGUAGGGUCUGUACCAGGAGGUGAGCACGAGGUCACACAG